rnacentral:rRNA from 1 species
GCGAGUGANCGGCAACAGCUCAAAUUUGAAAGCUAGCCUUCGGGUUCGCAUUGUAAUUUGUAGAGGAUGAUUUGGGGAAGCCGCCUGUCUAAGUUCCUUGGAACAGGACGUCAUAGAGGGUGAGAAUCCCGUAUGUGACAGGAAAUGGCACCCUAUGUAAAUCUCCUUCGACGAGUCGAGUUGUUUGGGAAUGCAGCUCUAAAUGGGAGGUAAAUUUCUUCUAAAGCUAAAUAUUGGCGAGAGACCGAUAGCGCACAAGUAGAGUGAUCGAAAGAUGAAAAGCACUUUGGAAAGAGAGUUAAAAAGCACGUGAAAUUGUUGAAAGGGAAGCGCUUGCAAUCAGACUUGUUUAAACUGUUCGGCCGGUCUUCUGACCGGUUUACUCAGUUUGGACAGGCCAGCAUCAGUUUCGGCGGCCGGAUAAAGGCUCUGGGAAUGUGGCCUCCACUUCGGUGGAGGUGUUAUAGCCCAGGGUGUAAUACGGCCAGCCGGGACUGAGGUCCGCGCUUCGGCUAGGAUGCUGGCGUAAUGGUUGUAAGCGACCC